rnacentral:rRNA from 1 species
GACGUAGGGCGCGAGCGUGGUCCGGAUUUAUUGGGCGUAAAGAGCUCGUAGGCGGCUUGUUGCGUCGACUGUGAAAACCCGCGGCUUAACUGCGGGCUUGCAGUUGAUACGGGCAGGCUAGAGUUCGGUAGGGGAGACUGGAAUUCCUGGUGUAGCGGUGAAAUGCGCAGAUAUCAGGAGGAACACCGGUGGCGAAGGCGGGUCUCUGGGCCGAUACUGACGCUGAGGAGCGAAAGCGUGGGGAGCGAACAGG